UACGAAGGGGGCUAGCGUUGCUCGGAAUCACUGGGCGUAAAGGGCGCGUAGGCGGCCAUUUAAGUCGGGGGUGAAAGCCUGUGGCUCAACCACAGAAUUGCCUUCGAUACUGGAUGGCUUGAGUUCGGUAGAGGUUGGUGGAACUGCGAGUGUAGAGGUGAAAUUCGUAGAUAUUCGCAAGAACACCGGUGGCGAAGGCGGCCAACUGGACCGACACUGACGCUGAGGCGCGAAAGCGUGGGGAGCAAACAGG
rnacentral:rRNA from 1 species